GCGCCUAUGAUGUAACGGUAGCCUACUGUCUUGCCAUGGCGGAAGUGCGGGUUCGAUUCCCGCUGGGUGCUC
rnacentral:tRNA from 1 species